GUAGGUGGCAAGCGUUGUCCGGAAUUAUUGGGCGUAAAGCGCGCGCAGGCGGUUCUUUAAGUCUGAUGUGAAAGCCCACGGCUCAACCGUGGAGGGUCAUUGGAAACUGGGGAACUUGAGUACAGAAGAGGAAAGCGGAAUUCCACGUGUAGCGGUGAAAUGCGUAGAGAUGUGGAGGAACACCAGUGGCGAAGGCGGCUUUCUGGUCUGUAACUGACGCUGAGGCGCGAAAGCGUGGGGAGCAAACAGGGAUUAGAUACCCUGGUAGUCCACGCCGUAAACGAUGAGUGCUAAGUGUUAGGGGGGUUUCCGCCCCCUUAGUGCUGCAGCUAACGCAUUAAGCACUCCGCCUGGGGAUACGGCCGCAAGGCUG
rnacentral:rRNA from 1 species